rnacentral:misc_RNA from 1 species
CCGACUUCAAAUUUUUGGGAUAAAUACUUAGUUGAGUUGAGUUGAGUUAGUUAUUCAGUCAAUAGGGGUAGGCCUAUUGGAACUCUAAAUCAUGGUUUUUCUUUUUAUUUUUUCAUGUGGUCUUUAUAAACUUCCUUUCAAAACCAACCUAAUUCUAUUUUUUGCUUACACCUAAUUCUUGCGACAAGUUAAUAAACCACUAUUCAUAUUGCACAUCAUUCCUUGCCUUUUUCUGAAGCUGCAGUCAGAACGCACACUAGAUUGUUUUGUCUAAAUUCCUUACCAUUAUUUUAAAACCUGACCUUAUCCUUGAAAUGAUCAAUUGCAGACAGUUUUAUGGGUGUUUCUUAUUCACGUGGCAGUGUUUGUUUUGAAGUGUGACAUGUUUUGCUUGCAUAUUUAACCAACGGUAUAAGGACAAUAUGCACUAAUUUGCAUUAAUGUAUGUUUGCAGUUUUCUUUUUGGAAUCAUAGCAAUUUAUCUUUGCUUUCAGGUUUUGGAGGAGAUUAGGCUUGGGCUAGAAAUAAAUGACUAUGGGAUGCAGCAGAGGCGAAUUGCUCACAUGCGAUUCUUAGGAGAGCUAUACAACUAUGAACUUGUGGAUUCAUCUGUAAUUUUUGAG